ensembl:lncRNA ERICH1 antisense RNA 1
AAGGAUUCAUUGCCCUGGGAGGUUUUGCCUGGCAUUCUGCAGAAGCAUUGCUGUAUCUUACCAGACAGGAAUACAGGGCCUCUGAAGAGCACCGGCAGCUUCCUUCUUAGCAGAGGAGAAAAUCUCUGCCAUCUCGUGCUCGCCUACCUCGACUCGCCAGACGCCCUGGAGCAGAGGAGGAGCAGUGGUCGGCAGCGGCCAGCCGUGCAGGUGCCACACCUGAUGGUCCACCUGGGAGAACCAGGCAGGAAGCCGGAAAG